rnacentral:ncRNA from 1 species
UACCGCUUGGUAAAAAUUCAUCGGUGCAGCAGAGGUUAGUAGAAUAUUAUUUUAUUCAAACAUCUUUGAGAUUAAGAAAGAA